UCAGAUAUGUUGGUUAACCUGUCUGUUUUUGAGUCCUUAAAUAUCCAAAAAUGUCUUAAUUUUACCCUCGUGUGUAUAAUUGUUUAGCUGGAUUUAGAUUGCUUAGUUGAAGAUUGUUUUCCUUUUAAAAAUUUUAAGACAUUGCUCCCUUAAAAAGAAAAAAAAAAACAAAACACUUUCAAAUACUUUAUGUUGAAGUAUAAGCUCCAGUAAUUUCUAGCUAUACUGUACCAUUCUGAUAUCUACUGCUACUCCUAUAAGCUUUUGGGAUCUUUUCUUCAUUUCUGGAGAUUUGUUCAUUCAUUGUGCCUGGCCCUCCCUGAUCCUUUCAAACUAAGGCUUAGCUCCAUUUGUUUUUUGUUUUUUUGGUUUGUUUGUUGGUUGGGUUUCUUUUUUUUUUAGGGCUGCCCCAUGCUAGGGGUCGAAUUAGAGCUACAGCUCACCACAACACCAGAUCCUUAACCCACUGAGUGAGGCCAGGUUGAAUCCUCGACCUCAUGGUUCCUAGUCAGCUUCAUUUCUGCUCUGCCACAGUGGGAACUCCUCAGCUCAGUUUUCAAAUCUUUUAAAUAAAAAUUUCACUUUAUUUUAAAUUUCCAAGUGCUUUGUUUUUUCCCUCUUUUGGUUUGUGUCUUAUGCUAGUGUCUUUGGCUUUCUUUUCAUGUUUAAGAGUGAGGCACUAAAAUAAAAGCAAAAGUGGGGGAAUGUGUACAUUAGGGUGUGCUUGCUGAUCAUUAAGAUUUACUAUAGGUUGAAGGGUAGUUGGCUUUGAAGGGUGCUGUAGACUGUCAACAUGAGAAGGUCUUGGGGGGCUAUUACAGUUUAUCCAGAGAAUUCUGCAUUAGGGCCAAAGAAGGUGUGGAAGGCUUGUGUAGACUCUCUGGCUCUUGCAUCUGUCUCAGCCAUAUGCGGUGCCUAUUGUCCUUCUCCGCUUUGAUGUUGGUUCACAUUAUCUAGAGACUAGACCUUCCUACAGAAGGUGGGGAAGGUCUGCUCUGAUCUCUUCUUUUGUGCCUUGCCUUGUCCCAAAAGCAUGUGUUACCUCCGAAUGCCAAACCGCUUCUGGGUCUCCAGGGGCUGGUGAACUGACCCUCCUGUUUCCAUUUUAACUUCACUGCCUCUGCCAGCUACUCUGCCUCCAUUAGCAUUCCACAUUCUAAAAAUUUCAUUGACACGUUGUCCACUGCUGUUCCCUCUUUGUCUUUGAUAUCCAAGGUUAGGGUUUUAAUUGUUUUAUCAUCAUUUUAGUGCCUUUGGAGGGGAGGAAAAUUAGUGUCACUUUACUGUGUUAAAUAAAAUCCCCCUUUUGAAAUCCUAAUAGACCUCCAUUUAUUCAGUAACUGUUGAUCAAGGCUCUGUAAGUUUCAAGUUUGAGAGCCAGGUCCUGGGUAUUCAGAAAUACAUGUGAUAUGGCACCUAACUUCUAGGAGCGCAUACGGUAUGUAAUAAAUACUGUGCCAGUAGUGUGACCAAAAUGCUGUUGGCUGUUGGCCCAGGUAGAGCCUGCCCCUGAAAAGACAGAUACAGUCUUGGGGCCUACAAAGUGGCCAGAAUGGUUUGACCCCAGUCCUCAUGCCCUGUCGUGACUCCUAUAACAUAAUGACUGAGCCUCGUGAAUGGGCUGCCUAGAGUGUGAUGGGUGAGAUGGUUAAACAAACAACAGGCUUUAAGACCCGUUAUGGCUUUUCCCAGCUGACUGGGAGGAGAGCAUCUGGUUAUAGCUAUAUAACUUUAAACAUUUUCUAGAAUAGUGGACCCCCUGCUUCCUGGGGCAGAAUGGGGUGGUGGGGGAAGAAGGAAAAAUUCUGGAAACAUAUUUCCUGUUUCUUGGGAGCUAGGCCAAGCUGUCAAACGCUUGUGACUUUGUUCCCACGGAGGUUCUGUUGUCUUUGCCUUGGGCCUGAUUCAUUUUCAGAAGUGGGAGAAGGAUUUAAUCAUGGGAAUCUGACCACCAGUCAGGCUAGGGGUUAACAAGGUCUGGUCUGGUGGUAGGGAGUAUGCUGCCUGCAGCCAGUGCCAUUGAGGCAGGGCCCUAGAGACCACAUUCUGGGCCUUAAGAGCACAGCCUGGAGUGGGUAGUGGUCCCUCAGUUUUGGCUCUGUAAGGACAGUGGCUGUUGCAAGGAAUCAAAGCAUGGUGCACAGUGUGGGGCAAAGGUGGCAAAGCGCUGAGCUGGGCGGGUGUGGGAAGGGCGUUGGCAGUCUGCUGAGCCCAGAGGAUAGACAGUACUGGGAGAGUCAGCUCAGAAUGGGGGUAUUUGAAGUGAAUGAUCCCUCCAGGACACAGAUACAGCAGCCUAGGAAAGGGAUAACGGGGCCUUGGGGAGAAACCAUAGCAGCCAGCAUGGGCAUCAGUCCUGCAGGCAGUCUUCAGAACUUCUUUCUCCAGCUGAAGCCCAGGGGGUUGGGUGUGGAAGGGCAUCUGGCUCUUGAGGUGCUUCCUCACUCUGCAGGGUGGGAUGAAGGCAGAGGACAGCCACGCUUGCAGGGGUCAUCCCAGCUUUUCUCCCACAGCCAGAGCUCCCUACCUCUCUUCAUUCUUCUCCAGGAUGUCUGGUCAGAAACCUAGCCCUUACUUCCAGGCAGACUUCUCUCCCGAGCUUGAUUAGGUCAGAAAUGACAGGCCUCUGGAUUGCGCCACCUCAGUGACAUCUUUGGGAGCCCAGGUCUGUCUUCUUGUUCUAAUCUUCUGGUUUCUCCACCACCAGAUCACACCUCCUAAUCUUUCAAUGUCACAAGUGCCCAAUACUCCCGGCUGUCCCCAGGCUUAUUCUGAACUGCAGACGCUGUCCCCCAGUGAGCGGCAGUGUGUGGAGACAGUGGUCAACAUGGGCUACUCGUAUGAGUGUGUCCUGAGAGCCAUGAAGAAGAAAGGAGAGAAUAUCGAGCAGGUGAGUGAUUGGUCAGUGGCGGAGGUGUGCAUGGGGGGUCAUCCCCCCAUCUCUGGAGCUGGAGUGGGGGCCAGCCUCUGUCCUAGAGUUGCUCAGAUUCAAAGCACCAUUGUCCUUAUGUUUGGGGGCACUCGGGCUGCUUUGUUGGGGAAACCAGCAGCCUCAGCACGUCUGCUUUGGGGGCUGCUCUGAGACCCAGGCUGAGGGAAUGCCCUGGGAAUAUUGGAGCUGUUGACAGUUACCCAGUUAAUUCCUUUCUCUGCUUCUCCUGGGAGGGCACACUAGGCUUGAGGUAUGUCAGAUGUCUUCUUCCAGAAAUGUUUAUUCUGUCAGAGUUGCCUAGGGAGUUCCUAAAUUUUGGGGGGCACUUUCUGACUUGGGUGGUUUCUCAGAAGACUUUCCUUUCUGGGCUGUGGACUGACGUCGGCUGGGAGGUGUGAGUCAGCUGUGACAGGAAUGCCUUUGAAAAGUGGCUACUCAUGUUUAGAAGGGCGUGCCUGUCAGCAGGUAGUCACACGGGUCCUGCUGUGUUGGACACAGUUCAAAGUACAAAGUCAAGUCCUCUUUUGAUUCUAAGCCAAGCUGGGGAGCAGAUGUCAUACUUGUUGGUUGUGCAUAAGACUUUUGGGAAGCACAGUCAGGAUGGGCGGUAGAUGCUUAAUUAAGCCUUUUUCUUUUUUCUUUUCAGGGCUGUACCCAUGGCAUAUGGAAGUUCUCAGGCUAGGGGUCGAAUUGGAGCUACAGCUGCCAGUCUACACCACAGCCACAGUAACGCCAGAUCCAGCCACAUCUGUGACCUACACCACAGCUCACAGCAAUGCUGGAUCCUUAACCCACUGAGCGAGCCCAGGGAUUGAACCCACGUCCUCAUGGAUGCUAGUCACAUUCGUUAACCACUGAGCCACAACGGGAACGCCUAAACCUUUUUCUUCCCUUAGAUUCUCGACUAUCUCUUUGCACAUGGACAGCUCUGUGAGAAAGGCUUCGACCCUCUUUUAGUGGAAGAGGCUCUGGAAAUGCAUCAGUGUUCAGAGGAAAAGAUGAUGGAGUUUCUUCAGUUAAUGAGCAAAUUUAAGGAAAUGGGCUUUGAACUGAAAGACAUUAAGGAAGUUCUGCUCCUACACAACAAUGACCAGGACAAUGCUUUGGAAGACCUCAUGGCUCGGGCGGGAGCCAGCUGAGAUAGGCCUUGCCUAGGCCCUGCCACGGAACCACCCCUGCCAGAGGCCCUGAGCAGCCCAUCUGUGGGGAAGGAGAAGGGGUACACUUCUGGAUUUUCUUUUGGGGGUGGAAGGUCAGGUGUGGAGACGGUGCUCGCCAGGUCUCUAUGAGCCGAGGCCCUGAGCUGGGGAGAAAGUGGGAAAGAUUUGGGCAGGCUCAUGUGCCCAGAACUGUCCUGGCUCCUUCCAUAUUAAAUGUAUUUGUAUUUUGAGAAGUGUCCUUCCCACCUUGGCCCUCCAGAGAGACUUCUCUGGUCUUUCUGGGGUCUGUUUGGCCUCAACCGGAACCCACCCCAGCUGCCAGAAGGAGCUGGGGAGAAGGGGUGGGAGGGCCAGACUCAGUGCUGCUUUGGGGCUAGAUGUUUUCCUCCUCUGCAAGGGUGGACUGACCUCUAAUCCAGGUUGAGUGCAAUUGAGAGGUUCUUCCAGGGUUUUGUUUUUUUCCCCCUUCAUGUCACUUAGUGUUACACUGGUUCUGCAAUGUCUCUGAGGUGCAAAGAAUGCCCUUUCCCCUUGGGGCCCUAGUUUGCCUUUUCUGCUAGGCAAUUGCAUUACUUUCCUGCCCCAGCCUGUUUCUUUUGGUCUGGUUGAGACCACAGUCGUUUGCUACCCAGGAUUUUAGAGCCCCCUUGUUCUAGGAACAGUUGUCAUUUUAAGAAAUCAUUGGCCCCUUCCCAGUGCAUCAAGUGGGGAAGAAAAAAACAGGCGGUGAUUUGGUCACUCAGCACUAACUCCACCUCAGUUCUCCCUGGAGAACAGCCUCUCCCUCCAGCCCUUUGCUCUAGGAUGACACAGUAACACCUAGUCAUAGAAAUCCGUCUCUUUGUUUUGUAUUAUGUUGUACAUCAUUAAAGAUCUAAAUACAGAGGAUAUACAGUCUUGAUGAAUCUAAUGUAAUUUGCUAACUAUUUUCAUUCUUCAGAGAGAACUACUAAUAAAAAUCUAAAAG
rnacentral:lncRNA from 1 species